GAUGAACGCUAGCGGCAGGCUUAAUACAUGCAAGUCGUGGGGCAGCAUGAGUAGCAAUACUUGAUGGCGACCGGCAAACGGGUGAGGAACACGUACACAACCUUCCUUCAAGCGGGGAAUAGCCCAGAGAAAUUUGGAUUAAUACCCCAUAAUAUAUUUGAUAAGGCAUCUUAUUAAUAUUAAAGCUUCGGCACUUGAUGAUGGGUGUGCGGCUGAUUAGAUAGUUGGCGGGUAACGGCCCACCAAGUCUACGAUCAGUAGCUGAUGUGAGAGCAUGAUCAGCCACACGGGCACUGAGACACGGGCCCGACUCCUACGGGAGGCAGCAGUAAGGAAUAUUGGACAAUGGACGAAAAGGUCUGAUCCAGCCAUGCCGCGUGAAGGAUUAAGGUCCUCU
rnacentral:rRNA from 1 species